GUCCACGUGUCCUCCUCCCGUGGAGUCAGCUGGUAUUUAUCUCGUGCUUGUUAUGUGCCAGGCUCCAUUUUAGGGGCUGGGGAUACAGCAGUGGACAAAAGCAAUCAGUGUCCUACUGUCUUGGAACUUAGAGUUUAUCAGGGGAUAGAGGGCCGGCUAGGGGCAAAUCAAUAAAGAAUGUUUGGGAAGUGACAAGUGAUUUGAGAAUAAACAGGACAAGGGGGAUGGAGAAUGAUGGAACAAAGGGGUGAGAGUGGGGUUGCUGUUUAUAUGAACUCAUCCGGGAAGGUCAGUGUCAGGGACUCUCUUCCCCAGAUGCCGCAUCAUCAUUAGAUCUUGGCUCCAAUAUCACCUCUCCAAGGAAGAUGUGUUGACUUCCCCGACCAGGUCACCACCCUGCUGCCCUACUGUAAGCUCUCAUAGCACCCAGUCUCCUCUCUUAAGAUGUAUAAACUUUCAGUUUUGCAUUUACUUCAGUGGUUGUUUGUUUACAAGGCAGGUGAGCUGACUUCACUCACUAAGCGUCUCUACUGCCUAGAAAUGGUGUUAAUGGUGGUUCAGUGAAUGAAUGGACAGGUGGCGGUGGCAUCUCUUCCCCAGACCUACUCUUCUGGUUGGGUUUGUUAACUUGGUAUAUGAUGCUACUUACCUGGGGAUCACUCUGAAGCUUUUCUUUUUCUCAGCCUUGGCCUCACAACACAUUACUGGUCCUACUUCCCCUUCCUCCCUUUGUGAGACAAAGUAGCAAAUGAAAGAAGCCACGCCUGCUCAUUUCUGCUUGCCAGCAUAAUUCCACAAAGCCCCGACUUUGUGACAAUGUGCAGCGCUCCGGAAAGAUGCUUUGAAGACAAAGCAGGCCAGAGCACAUAGCCCCCCCAGGUCUGUCUCUUGCCUGAGUCUCUGUUCUCCCUACAAGAUAAAUGACCCUUAUCCUUGCCUUUCCCUACACGUAAGACGAUGUCUGCCGGGGUUAGUGAGGGAGGACGCUUCUGUAAUCUCUAACCAGAUGCACUCUCAGGCCCAAACCUUGAUGUGAUUCUGCUUCAGUGUCACUUCUCAGCAAGUCUGGUGUGAUUUUGCAGGUACCUGACCCCACCACCUGCAUUUAAGCCGUGGCUAAAACACUGUACCGAAAACUGAUAGGACCUCCCUGAAGGGUGGCUCCUGGGCUGCCGGCCUCUGUCUACAGUCCUCAGAAAGGCUUCUGAAGAAAACCAACUUGAAUUCUUUAAAAGCUUGGCUUUUUUGCCUUUAGUCAACACCUUCUAUCAUUGUCUGAGUUAAAACCCUCAUUUUUUUCAGAACCCCUCUUCUCUGUAUACAUUUUCCGGAUAUAUAUAUAUUUUGGCCCUUCCUAUAUGUGGAAUCACCAGGGCAUUUUACUUCUAGUUGUGUCCCUUGUUAACACGAGAAUUUGAUUUGUCGUUGUUUGUUUGUUGUUGUGCACAGUUUGCUUAGAAUGUCUUUUAAUAGGAGAGGAGAGCCGGGCGCGGUGGCUCAUUCCUGUAAUCCUAGCACUUUGGGAGGCUGAGGCAGGCGGAUCGCAAGGUCAGGAGAUUUAGACUAUUCUGGCUAACACGGUGAAACCGCGUCUCUACUAGAAAUACAAAAAAUUAACUGAGCGAGGUGGCGGGCGCCUGUAAUCCCAGCUACUCGGGAGGCUGAGGCAGGAACAUGGCGUGAACCUGGAAGGCGGAGCUUGCAGUGAGCCAAGAUCUCGCCACUGCACCCCAGCCUGGGCAGCAGAGCGAGACUCCGUCUCAAAAAAAAAAAAAAAAAAAAAAAAAAAA
rnacentral:lncRNA from 1 species